rnacentral:rRNA from 1 species
UACGUAGGGUGCGAGCGUUAAUCGGAAUUACUGGGCGUAAAGUGUGCGCAGGCGGCCGAGCAAGUCGAGUGUGAAAUCCCCCGGGCUUAACUUGGGAAUUGCGCUCGAAACUACCUGGCUUGAGUGUGGCAGAGGAAGGUGGAAUUCCACGUGUAGCGGUGAAAUGCGUAGAGAUGUGGAGGAACACCGAUGGCGAAGGCAGCUCGCUGGGACGUUACUGACGCUGAGACGCGAAAAGCGUGGGGAGCAAACAGGG